GUGAUGAUAGAACUCCCCGGAUUGAAGAGUGAUAAAAGAACCCCUUGCUGA
rnacentral:snoRNA from 1 species